GUACUUGUGAUGUACUCUGUAUGGUCCACUGUACAAUGUAAUUAGGAUGUACUUUGUGUGGUCCACUGUACAGUGUUUUUAGGAUUUACUCUGUGUGGUCCACUGUACAGUGUUAUUAGGAUUUACUUUGUGUGGUCCACUGUACAGUGUAAUUCAGAUGUACUCUGUGUGGUCCACUGUACAGUGUAAUUCAGAUGUACUGUGUGUGGUCCACUGUACAAUGUUAUUAUGAUUUACUGUGUGGUCCACUGUACAGUGUAAUUAGGAUUUACUCUGUGUGGUCCACUUUACAGUGUUAAUAAGAUAUACUCUGUGUGGUCCACUGUACAGUGUAAUUAGGAUGUACUCUAGAUCUGUCUGUAGGAUGUCUGGAGCUUGUACAUUUUGCAUCAAAAUGAAUUAAAAGUUUCAAUAUUUACUAUAGAAAGCAAUCUUUGCUGAAAGUCACCGUCACUUGGAUCCUUAGUAGAUAAUUAGUCUCUGUUGAUGAUACAGGUAUAUUAUUGCAGAUACAGGCUGUUUGAUGCUGUAGAGACAGGCUGUUUUGAUGCUGUAGAGACAGGCUGUUUGAUGCUGUUACUUCUCAGGUCCUGGUUUCAAUAAGAUCAUGUCAUUUAUUAUAAAUUCUAUUUUUCAUUCUUUAAGUGGCUGUUUGACCUUUAUGCACCUCUAUCUAUACCUUUUUGAGUAAGACUGGAUUGGAUGACGACAAUAAAAUGUACAGAGAUAAUCACAUCUUC